UAGGGAAUCUUCGGCAAUGGACGAAAGUCUGACCGAGCAACGCCGCGUGAGUGAAGAAGGUUUUCGGAUCGUAAAACUCUGUUGUUAGAGAAGAACAAGGACGUUAGUAACUGAACGUCCCCUGACGGUAUCUAACCAGAAAGCCACGGCUAACUACGUGCCAGCAGCCGCGGUAAUACGUAGGUGGCAAGCGUUGUCCGGAUUUAUUGGGCGUAAAGCGAGCGCAGGCGGUUUCUUAAGUCUGAUGUGAAAGCCCCCGGCUCAACCGGGGAGGGUCAUUGGAAACUGGGAGACUUGAGUGCAGAAGAGGAGAGUGGAAUUCCAUGUGUAGCGGUGAAAUACGUAGAUAUAUGGAGGAACACCAGUGACGAAGGCGGCUCUCUGGUCUGUAACUGACGCUGAGGCUCGAAAGCGUGGGGAGCAAAAAGG
rnacentral:rRNA from 1 species